GUGGGGAAUAUUGGACAAUGGGCGCAAGCCUGAUCCAGCCAUGCCGCGUGAGUGAAGAAGGCCUUAGGGUUGUAAAACUCUUUCACCAGGGACGAUGAUGACGGUACCUGGAGAAGAAGCCCCGGCUAACUCCGUGCCAGCAGCCGCGGUAAUACGGAGGGGGCUAGCGUUGUUCGGAAUUACUGGGCGUAAAGCGCGCGUAGGCGGUUUAUCAAGUUAGACGUGAAAGCCCUGGGCUCAACCCAGGAACUGCGUUUGAUACUGGUUGACUAGAGGCCGGGAGAGGGUAGUGGAAUUCCCAGUGUAGAGGUGAAAUUCGUAGAUAUUGGGAAGAACACCGGUGGCGAAGGCGGCUACCUGGACCGGACCUGACGCUGAGGUGCGAAAGCGUGGGGAGCAAACAGGAUUAGAUACCCCGGUAGUCC
rnacentral:rRNA from 1 species